UGGGGAAUUUUGGACAAUGGGCGAAAGCCUGAUCCAGCAAUGCCGCGUGUGUGAAGAAGGCCUUCGGGUUGUAAAGCACUUUUGUCCGGAAAGAAAUCCUUGGCUCUAAUACAGUCGGGGGAUGACGGUACCGGAAGAAUAAGCACCGGCUAACUACGUGCCAGCAGCCGCGGUAAUACGUAGGGUGCAAGCGUUAAUCGGAAUUACUGGGCGUAAAGCGUACGCAGGCGGUUUGCUAAGACCGAUGUGAAAUCCCCGGGCUCAACCUGGGAACUGCAUUGGUGACUGGCAGGCUAGAGUAUGGCAGAGGGGGGUUAGAAUUCCACGUGUAGCAGUGAAAUGCGUAGAGAUGUGGAGGAAUACCGAUGGCGAAGGCAGCCCCCUGGGGCCAAUACUGACGCUCAUGCACGAAAGCGUGGGGGAGCAAACAGGAUUAGAUACCCUGGUAGUCCACGCCCUAAACGAUGUCAACUAGUUGUUGGGGAUUCAUUUCCUUAGUAACGUAGCUAACGCGUGAAGUUGACCGCCUGGGGGAGUACGGUCGCAAGAUUAAAACUU
rnacentral:rRNA from 1 species